rnacentral:rRNA from 1 species
AGACAAGUCGGGAAAGUUUUUCGCUAAGGGAUCAGUCUAUGUUCCAUCAGCUUGUUGGUGAGGUAAUGGCUCACCAAGGCUAUGACGGAUAUCUGGUUUGAGAGGAUGAUCAGACACACUGGAACUGAGACACGGUCCAGACUCCUACGGGAGGCAGCAGUGAGGAAUAUUGCACAAUGGAGGAAACUCUGAUGCAGCAACGCCGCGUGGAGGAUGACGCAUUUCGGUGUGUAAACUCCUUUUAUUAGGGAAGAUAAUGACGGUACCUAAUGAAUAAGCACCGGCUAACUCCGUGCCAGCAGCCGCGGUAAUACGGAGGGUGCAAGCGUUACUCGGAAUCACUGGGCGUAAAGGGUGCGUAGGCUGGCUUUUAAGUCAGAUGUGAAAUCCAAUGGCUCAACCAUUGAACUGCAUUUGAAACUGAAAGCCUAGAGUUCAGAAGGGGCAGAUGGAAUUAGUGGUGUAGGGGUAAAAUCCGUAGAUAUCACUAGGAAUAUCAAAAGCGAAGGCGAUCUG